UAGCUUAGUUGGUAGUGCGUCUGCCUUCUAAGCGCUAGGCCGCGGGUUCGAUUCCCGC
rfam:Asian citrus Psyllid, Diaphorina citri - Florida Strain, whole genome shotgun sequence.